rnacentral:tRNA from 1 species
GUCUUUGGUGGCUCAGGUGGAUAGAGCGUCUGCCAUGUAAGCAGAAGAUCCCGGGUUCGAGUCCCGGUCGGGGCA